GCAGUCAGGGCCGAGUGGUUAAGGUGAUGGACUAGAAUCCCUUAGGGUCUACCCUCACAGGUUCGAAUCCUGUCGACUGCA
rnacentral:tRNA from 2 species